CACCUGUACCCAUGCCGAACACAGAAGUUAAGCCUCUUAACGCCGAUGGUACUACGAUGGAAACGUCGUGGGAGAGUAGGUAGUCGCCAAAC
rnacentral:rRNA from 1 species